rnacentral:rRNA from 1 species
UUGAACGCUGGCGGCAGGCCUAACACAUGCAAGUCGAGCGGAUGAAGGGAGCUUGCUCCUGGAUUCAGCGGCGGACGGGUGAGUAAUGCCUAGGAAUCUGCCUGGUAGUGGGGGAUAACGUCCGGAAACGGGCGCUAAUACCGCAUACGUCCUGAGGGAGAAAGUGGGGGAUCUUCGGACCUCACGCUAUCAGAUGAGCCUAGGUCGGAUUAGCUAGUUGGUGGGGUAACGGCCUACCAAGGCGACGAUCCGUAACUGGUCUGAGAGGAUGAUCAGUCACACUGGAACUGAGACACGGUCCAGACUCCUACGGGAGGCAGCAGUGGGGAAUAUUGGACAAUGGGCGAAAGCCUGAUCCAGCCAUGCCGCGUGUGUGAAGAAGGUCUUCGGAUUGUAAAGCACUUUAAGUUGGGAGGAAGGGCAGUAAGUUAAUACCUUGCUGUUUUGACGUUACCAACAGAAUAAGCGCCGGCUAACUUCGUG